AUAACAUUUGGAAACAGAUGCUAAUACCGCAUAAACCUAACACCGCAUGGUGUAGGGUUGAAAGAUGGUUUCGGCUAUCACUUUAGGAUGGACCCGCGGUGCAUUAGUUAGUUGGUGAGGUAAAGGCUCACCAAGACCGUGAUGCAUAGCCGACCUGAGAGGGUAAAUCGGCCACGCUGGGACUGAGACACGGCCCAGACUCCUACGGAGGCAGCAGUAGGGAAUCUUCCACAAUGGACGAAAGUCUGAUGGAGCAACGCCGCGUGAGUGAAGAAGGUUUUCGGAUCGUAAACUCUGUUGUUGGAGAAGAAUGUAUCUGAUAGUAACUGAUCAGGUAGUGACGGUAUCCAACCAGAAAGCCACGGCUAACUACGUG
rnacentral:rRNA from 1 species